rnacentral:rRNA from 1 species
UGGGGAAUCUUGGACAAUGGGGGAAACCCUGAUCCAGCCAUGCCGCGUGAGUGAUGAAGGCCCUAGGGUUGUAAAACUCUUUCGGCGGGGACGAUAAUGACGGUACCCGCAGAAGAAGCUCCGGCUAACUUCGUGCCAGCAGCCGCGGUAAUACGAAGGGGGCUAGCGUUGUUCGGAAUUACUGGGCGUAAAGCGCGCGCAGGCGGUCCUUCAAGUCAGAGGUGAAAGCCCAGAGCUCAACUCUGGAACGGCCUUUGAGACUAGAGGACUAGGGUACGGGAGAGGUGAGUGGAAUUCCGAGUGUAGAGGUGAAAUUCGUAGAUAUUCGGAAGAACACCAGUGGCGAAGGCGGCUCACUGGCCCGUUACCGACGCUCAGGCGCGACAGCGUGGGGAGCAAACAGGAUUAGAUACCCCAGUAGUCCCUGAGCGGGCUGGCAAGGCGCAU